rnacentral:rRNA from 1 species
UUAAGCAGGAUGUGAANUCCCCGGGCUCAACCUGGGAACUGCGUUNUGAACUGGGUGACUAGAGUGUGUCAGAGGGAGGUAGAAUNCCACGUGUAGCAGUGAAAUGCGUAGAGAUGUGGAGGAAUACCGAUGGCGAAGGCAGCCUCCUGGGAUAACACUGACGUUCAUGCCCGAAAGCGUGGGUAGCAAACAGGAUUAGAUACCCUGGUAGUNCACGCCCUAAACGAUGUCGAUUAGCUGUUGGGCAGCAUGACUGCAUAGUAGCGAAGCUAACGCGUGAAAUCGACCGCCUGGGGAGUACGGUCGCAAGAUUAAAACUCAAAGGGAUUGACGGGGACCCGCACAAGCGGUGGAUGAUGUGGAUUAAUUCGAUGCAACGCGAAGAACCUUACCUGGUCUUGACAUGUACGGAACCCUCCAGAGACGGAGGGGUGCCUUCGGGAGCCGUAACACAGGUGCUGCAUGGCUGUCGUCAGCUCGUGUCGUGAGAUGUUGGGCUAAGUCCCGCAACGAGCGCAUCCCUUGUCAUUAGUUGCCAUCAUUAAGUUGGGCACUCUAAUGAGACUGCCGGUGACAAGCCGGAGGAAGGUGGGGAUGACGUCAAGUCCUCAUGGCCCUUAUGACCAGGGCUUCACACGUCAUACAAUGGUCGGUACAGAGGGUAGCCAAGCCGCGAGGUGGAGCCAAUCUCACAAAACCGAUCGUAGUCCGGAUUGCACUCUGCAACUCGAGUGCAUGAAGUCGGAAUCGCUAGUAAUCGCAGGUCAGCAUACUGCGGUGAAUACGUUCCCGGGUCUUGUACACA